CUUUGCGCUAAUGAUGUCUCAAAUGGAGGGAGGUUGUCGAGUUAUACCAUAACAGAUCUCUUUCUUCAGAAGAACCUGAUCCGUGAGCCAACGGCUUUUCUAAUAGAUGUUUUGAAGCCAAAUCUUCCUGAACAUAGUUUCCUUCAAACAAAGGUCCUGGAAAUCAA